rnacentral:rRNA from 1 species
GGGACACGUGGUAUCCUGUCUGAAUAUGGGGGGACCAUCCUCCAAGGCUAAAUACUCCUGACUGACCGAUAGUGAACCAGUACCGUGAGGGAAAGGCGAAAAGAACCCCGGCGAGGGGAGUGAAAAAGAACCUGAAACCGUGUACGUACAAGCAGUGGGAGCACGCUUAGGCGUGUGACUGCGUACCUUUUGUAUAAUGGGUCAGCGACUUAUAUUCUGUAGCAAGGUUAACCGAAUAGGGGAGCCGAAGGGAAACCGAGUCUUAACUGGGCGUUAAGUUGCAGGGUAUAGACCCGAAACCCGGUGAUCUAGCCAUGGGCAGGUUGAAGGUUGGGUAACACUAACUGGAGGACCGAACCGACUAAUGUUGAAAAAUUAGCGGAUGACUUGUGGCUGGGGGUGAAAGGCCAAUCAAACCGGGAGAUAGCUGGUUCUCCCCGAAAGCUAUUUAGGUAGCGCCUCGUGAAUUCAUCUCCGGGGGUAGAGCACUGUUUCGGCAAGGGGGUCAUCCCGACUUACCAACCCGAUGCAAACUGCGAAUACCGGAGAAUGUUAUCACGGGAGACACACGGCGGGUGCUAACGUCCGUCGUGAAGAGGGAAACAACCCAGACCGCCAGCUAAGGUCCCAAAGUCAUGGUUAAGUGGGAAACGAUGUGGGAAGGCCCAGACAGCCAGGAUGUUGGCUUAGAAGCAGCCAUCAUUUAAAGAAAGCGUAAUAGCUCACUGGUCGAGUCGGCCUGCGCGGAAGAUGUAACGGGGCUAAACCAUGCACCGAAGCUGCGGCAGCGACGCUUAUGCGUUGUUGGGUAGGGGAGCGUUCUGUAAGCCUGUGAAGGUGUGCUGUGAGGCAUGCUGGAGGUAUCAGAAGUGCGAAUGCUGACAUAAGUAACGAUAAAGCGGGUGAAAAGCCCGCUCGCCGGAAGACCAAGGGUUCCUGUCCAACGUUAAUCGGGGCAGGGUGAGUCGACCCCUAAGGCGAGGCCGAAAGGCGUAGUCGAUGGGAAACAGGUUAAUAUUCCUGUACUUGGUGUUACUGCGAAGGGGGGACGGAGAAGGCUAUGUUGGCCGGGCGACGGUUGUCCCGGUUUAAGCGUGUAGGCUGGUUUUCCAGGCAAAUCCGGAAAAUCAAGGCUGAGGCGUGAUGACGAGGCACUACGGUGCUGAAGCAACAAAUGCCCUGCUUCCAGGAAAAGCCUCUAAGCAUCAGGUAACAUCAAAUCGUACCCCAAACCGACACAGGUGGUCAGGUAGAGAAUACCAAGGCGCUUGAGAGAACUCGGGUGAAGGAACUAGGCAAAAUGGUGCCGUAACUUCGGGAGAAGGCACGCUGAUAUGUAGGUGAAGCGACUUGCUCGUGGAGCUGAAAUCAGUCGAAGAUACCAGCUGGCUGCAACUGUUUAUUAAAAACACAGCACUGUGCAAACACGAAAGUGGACGUAUACGGUGUGACGCCUGCCCGGUGCCGGAAGGUUAAUUGAUGGGGUCAGCGCAAGCGAAGCUCUUGAUCGAAGCCCCGGUAAACGGCGGCCGUAACUAUAACGGUCCUAAGGUAGCGAAAUUCCUUGUCGGGUAAGUUCCGACCUGCACGAAUGGCGUAAUGAUGGCCAGGCUGUCUCCACCCGAGACUCAGUGAAAUUGAACUCGCUGUGAAGAUGCAGUGUACCCGCGGCAAGACGGAAAGACCCCGUGAACCUUUACUAUAGCUUGACACUGAACAUUGAGCCUUGAUGUGUAGGAUAGGUGGGAGGCUUAGAAGUGUGGACGCCAGUCUGCAUGGAGCCGACCUUGAAAUACCACCCUUUAAUGUUUGAUGUUCUAACGUUGACCCGUAAUCCGGGUUGCGGACAGUGUCUGGUGGGUAGUUUGACUGGGGCGGUCUCCUCCUAAAGAGUAACGGAGGAGCACGAAGGUUGGCUAAUCCUGGUCGGACAUCAGGAGGUUAGUGCAAUGGCAUAAGCCAGCUUGACUGCGAGCGUGACGGCGCGAGCAGGUGCGAAAGCAGGUCAUAGUGAUCCGGUGGUUCUGAAUGGAAGGGCCAUCGCUCAACGGAUAAAAGGUACUCCGGGGAUAACAGGCUGAUACCGCCCAAGAGUUCAUAUCGACGGCGGUGUUUGGCACCUCGAUGUCGGCUCAUCACAUCCUGGGGCUGAAGUAGGUCCCAAGGGUAUGGCUGUUCGCCAUUUAAAGUGGUACGCGAGCUGGGUUUAGAACGUCGUGAGACAGUUCGGUCCCUAUCUGCCGUGGGCGCUGGAGAACUGAGGGGGGCUGCUCCUAGUACGAGAGGACCGGAGUGGACGCAUCACUGGUGUUCGGGUUGUCAUGCCAAUGGCACUGCCCGGUAGCUAAAUGC